rnacentral:rRNA from 1 species
AAACCUGCGAAACUCGAAUGAACGAACGGAGAGAUUCAUCGUCAUUCGACGGCGUACGGGCGCGCGCCUCGAUGUUCGUGCGGCGUUACCUUCGCGGGUGCGUCGUACGUCACGGGUCGCGUCCGUCGACGUCCGUCGACGGCGUGCACUUCUCUCUCAGUAAUACAUCGCGACCCGUUCGAUGUCGGUCUAAGCGCCGUCCGGGAGUCCAGUGGUGCGGUUCGCGCCGCACCGUUGGACCGUGACGGUGGCCGACCGGCCGUCGGACGGUAGUACAAAGUCGUACUUAUAUACGAAUCGCGCACGCGCCUCGCGCGCGUCCGGCCCGACGCAAGCGAACGCCGUACGUCGAUGUCCUGCCCGAGUGCGGACUUCGACACGGCGCUGCUGUCGUCGCUGCCGUGCUGUCUCGGACCGUGCGCGUAUCCGUCUGCGAUGAUUC